GGUAGCGCAAUCACUUGUCUUUUAAAUGAAGACCUGUAUGAAUGGUGUAACGAGGGCUUAACUGUCUCCCUUCUCUAGUCAAUGAAAUUGAUCUACCCGUGCAGAAGCGGGUAUACAAAUACAAGACGAGAAGACCCUUUGGAGCUUAAGACACUAAGCCAACCGUGCUAAGAGCCCUUAAUAAAAUAGACUAAACAAAACAACAACUGGCCAACGUCUUCGGUUGGGGCGACCGCGGGGGAAAACAAAGCCCCCAUGUGGACUGGGAAUAUUCCCAAAACCAAGAGAUACAUCUCUAAGUCACAGAACAUCUGACCUACAGAUCCGGCCAUAAGCCGAUCAACGAAACAAGUUACCCUAGGGAUAACAGCGCAAUCCUCUUCAAGAGUCCAUAUCGACAAGAGGGUUUACGACCUCGAUGUUGGAUCAGGACAUCCUAAUGGUGCAGCCGCUAUUAAGGGUUCGUUUGUUCAACGAUUAA
rnacentral:rRNA from 1 species